rfam:Gossypium arboreum cultivar AKA8401 contig_2474_3, whole genome shotgun sequence.
GAUAACUGGCUUGUGGCAGCCAAGCGUUCAUAGCGACGUUGCUUUUUGAUCCUUCGAUGUCGGCUCUUCCUAUCAUUGUGAAGUAGAAUUCACUAAGUGUUGGAUUGUUCACCCACCAAUAGGGAACGUGAGCUGGGUUUAGACUGUCAAGAGAUAGGUUAGUUUUACCUUACUGAUGGCUGUGU